GUAUAGGGGCUGACGCCUGCCCGGUGCUGGAAGGUUAAGAGGAGUGGUUAGCUUCUGCGAAGCUACGAAUCGAAGCCCCAGUAAACGGCGGCCGUAACUAUAACGGUCCUAAGGUAGCGAAAUUCCUUGUCGGGUAAGUUCCGACCCGCACGAAAGGCGUAACGAUUUGGGCACAGUCUCAACGAGAGACUCGGUGAAAUCAUAGUACCUGUGAAGAUGCAGGUUACCCGCGACAGGACGGAAAGACCCCGUGGAGCUUUACUGUAGCCUGAUAUUGAAAUUCGGCACAGCUUGUAC
rnacentral:rRNA from 1 species